rnacentral:misc_RNA from 1 species
AAGGAUCAUUACAGAGUUCAUGCCCUUCGGGGUAGACCUCCCACCCUUUGUUAUACCAACCAUUGUUGCUUUGGCGGGACGCCUUCGGGCCAUCGGCUUCGGCUGCUGCGUGUCCGCCAGAGACCCUUAACCCUGCCUUUAUUGUCGUCUGAGUACUAUAUAAUAGUUAAAACUUUCAACAACGGAUCUCUUGGUUCUG